rnacentral:rRNA from 1 species
UACGUAGGGUGCAAGCGUUAGUCGGAAUUACUGGGCGUAAAGCGUGCGCAGGCGGUGAUGUAAGACAGGUGUGAAAUCCCCGGGCUUAACCUGGGAACUGCAUUUGUGACUGCAUCGCUGGAGUGCGGCAGAGGGGGAUGGAAUUCCGCGUGUAGCAGUGAAAUGCGUAGAUAUGCGGAGGAACACCGAUGGCGAAGGCAAUCCCCUGGGCCUGUACUGACGCUCAUGCACGAAAGCGUGGGGAGCAAACAGG